GGGUUGUGAGGUUAAGCGACUAAGCGUACACGGUGGAUGCCCUGGCAGUCAGAGGCGAUGAAGGACGUGCUAAUCUGCGAUAAGCGCCGGUAAGGUGAUAUGAACCGUUAUAACCGGCGAUUUCCGAAUGGGGAAACCCAGUGUGACUCGUCACACUAUCAUUAACUGAAUCCAUAGGUUAAUGAGGCGAACCGGGGGAACUGAAACAUCUAAGUACCCCGAGGAAAAGAAAUCAACCGAGAUUCCCCCAGUAGCGGCGAGCGAACGGGGAGGAGCCCAGAGCCUGAAUCAGCAUGUGUGUUAGUGGAAGCGUCUGGAAAGGCGCGCGAUACAGGGUGACAGCCCCGUACACAAAAGCGCAUGUGCUGUGAGCUCGAUGAGUAGGGCGGGACACGUGGUAUCCUGUCUGAAUAUGGGGGGACCAUCCUCCAAGGCUAAAUACUCCUGACUGACCGAUAGUGAACCAGUACCGUGAGGGAAAGGCGAAAAGAACCCCGGCGAGGGGAGUGAAAAAGAACCUGAAACCGUGUACGUACAAGCAGUGGGAGCCCCACCACUAAGCCAGUGGUGAACUCCACAUACGCAUCCUUUGCUGAGGAUGCGGUUAACGGAGCGAAAGCGACGUUCAACCGCAAAAGAAGCAGAGGGGGCUUAGUGGUGGGGUGACUGCGUACCUUUUGUAUAAUGGGUCAGCGACUUAUAUUCUGUAGCAAGGUUAACCGAAUAGGGGAGCCGGAGGGAAACCGAGUCUUAAUUGGGCGUUAAGUUGCAGGGUAUAGACCCGAAACCCGGUGAUCUAGCCAUGGGCAGGUUGAAGGUUGGGUAACACUAACUGGAGGACCGAACCGACUAAUGUUGAAAAAUUAGCGGAUGACCUGUGGCUGGGGGUGAAAGGCCAAUCAAACCGGGAGAUAGCUGGUUCUCCCCGAAAGCUAUUUAGGUAGCGCCUCGUGAAUUCAUCUCCGGGGGUAGAGCACUGUUUCGGCUAGGGGGCCAUCCCGGCUUACCAACCCGAUGCAAACUGCGAAUACCGGAGAAUGUUAUCACGGGAGACACACGGCGGGUGCUAACGUCCGUCGUGAAGAGGGAAACAACCCAGACCGCCAGCUAAGGUCCCAAAGUCAUGGUUAAGUGGGAAACGAUGUGGGAAGGCCCAGACAGCCAGGAUGUUGGCUUAGAAGCAGCCAUCAUUUAAAGAAAGCGUAAUAGCUCACUGGUCGAGUCGGCCUGCGCGGAAGAUGUAACGGGGCUAAACCAUGCACCGAAGCUGCGGCAGCGACGCUGAUGCGUUGUUGGGUAGGGGAGCGUUCUGUAAGCCUGCGAAGGUGGCCUGUGAGGGUUGCUGGAGGUAUCAGAAGUGCGAAUGCUGACAUAAGUAACGAUAAAGCGGGUGAAAAGCCCGCUCGCCGGAAGACCAAGGGUUCCUGUCCAACGUUAAUCGGGGCAGGGUGAGUCGACCCCUAAGGCGAGGCCGAAAGGCGUAGUCGAUGGGAAACGGGUUAAUAUUCCCGUACUUGGUGUUACUGCGAAGGGGGGACGGAGAAGGCUAUGUUGGCCGGGCGACGGUUGUCCCGGUUUAAGCGUGUAGGUGUGUGUUCCAGGUAAAUCCGGUUCACUUUAACACUGAGGCGUGAUGACGAGGCACUACGGUGCUGAAGCAACAAAUGCCCUGCUUCCAGGAAAAGCCUCUAAGCAUCAGGUAACAUCAAAUCGUACCCCAAACCGACACAGGUGGUCAGGUAGAGAAUACCAAGGCGCUUGAGAGAACUCGGGUGAAGGAACUAGGCAAAAUGGUGCCGUAACUUCGGGAGAAGGCACGCUGACACGUAGGUGAAGUGAUUUACUCAUGGAGCUGAAGUCAGUCGAAGAUACCAGCUGGCUGCAACUGUUUAUUAAAAACACAGCACUGUGCAAACACGAAAGUGGACGUAUACGGUGUGACGCCUGCCCGGUGCCGGAAGGUUAAUUGAUGGGGUCAGCGCAAGCGAAGCUCCUGAUCGAAGCCCCGGUAAACGGCGGCCGUAACUAUAACGGUCCUAAGGUAGCGAAAUUCCUUGUCGGGUAAGUUCCGACCUGCACGAAUGGCGUAAUGAUGGCCAGGCUGUCUCCACCCGAGACUCAGUGAAAUUGAACUCGCUGUGAAGAUGCAGUGUACCCGCGGCAAGACGGAAAGACCCCGUGAACCUUUACUAUAGCUUGACACUGAACAUUGAGCCUUGAUGUGUAGGAUAGGUGGGAGGCUUUGAAGUGUGGACGCCAGUCUGCAUGGAGCCGGCCUUGAAAUACCACCCUUUAAUGUUUGAUGUUCUAACGUGGACCCGUGAUCCGGGUUGCGGACAGUGUCUGGUGGGUAGUUUGACUGGGGCGGUCUCCUCCUAAAGAGUAACGGAGGAGCACGAAGGUUGGCUAAUCCUGGUCGGACAUCAGGAGGUUAGUGCAAUGGCAUAAGCCAGCUUGACUGCGAGCGUGACGGCGCGAGCAGGUGCGAAAGCAGGUCAUAGUGAUCCGGUGGUUCUGAAUGGAAGGGCCAUCGCUCAACGGAUAAAAGGUACUCCGGGGAUAACAGGCUGAUACCGCCCAAGAGUUCAUAUCGACGGCGGUGUUUGGCACCUCGAUGUCGGCUCAUCACAUCCUGGGGCUGAAGUAGGUCCCAAGGGUAUGGCUGUUCGCCAUUUAAAGUGGUACGCGAGCUGGGUUUAGAACGUCGUGAGACAGUUCGGUCCCUAUCUGCCGUGGGCGCUGGAGAACUGAGGGGGGCUGCUCCUAGUACGAGAGGACCGGAGUGGACGCAUCACUGGUGUUCGGGUUGUCAUGCCAAUGGCACUGCCCGGUAGCUAAAUGCGGAAGAGAUAAGUGCUGAAAGCAUCUAAGCACGAAACUUGCCCCGAGAUGAGUUCUCCCUGAGACUUAGAGUCUCCUGAAGGAACGUUGAAGACGACGACGUUGAUAGGCCGGGUGUGUAAGCGCAGCGAUGCGUUGAGCUAACCGGUACUAAUGAACCGUGAGGCUUAACCUUACAACGCCGAAG
rnacentral:rRNA from 1 species